rnacentral:rRNA from 1 species
UACGUAGGGGGCAAGCGUUGUCCGGAUUUAUUGGUCGUCAAGAACGUGUAGGCGGCUUUACAGGUCCGUUGUGAAAACUCGAGGCUCAACCUCGAGACGCCGGUGGAAACUGCAAAGCUAGAGUCCGGAAGAGGAGAGUGGAAUUCCUGGUGUAGCGGUGAAAUGCGCAGAUAUCGGGAAGAACACCCGUGGCGAAGGCGGCUCUCUGGGACGGUACUGACGCUGAGACGCGAAAGCGUGGGGAGCGAACAGG